UACACGAAGCUGAGUAGGCAUAGUUUCGUACACGAACGCUAAUUGGUUGGCUCGCCCAGUGCAGUGCACAUGGUUGCUGUUUCACGUACACAAACACUAAUUGGUUGGCUCGCCCAGUUUGUCUCUGCAGGCCCAGACAGGGGCCCAGACAACAUCACAGCUCUGUUGUUUAGAAUAGCCAUGAAGGGGAAUUCCCAAGUUAUACCUUUGUCGUAUAGGUAAUCUUACAAUAUUGAUGAAUUAAAAAAACACUAAAACGUAUGGUUUUAAUCGUAGGCCUAGGGGCUAGGUCUAGCCUAGGUAACAUCGCUCAUUCAUAACAUAUGUUUAUUGAGCGUUCGCGUAACGUACAUAUUAGGUCAAAGGUUACCACAAAUUUAACCCAACCUCAAUUUUACAAAUCCCCCAAUUUACGUAUAUGCCCUCCGGUCCCGUACCGUAUGUAAAAUCGAGGUUCUACUGUAUAUUAUAAAAAUUAGAUUUUCUUGCUGUCCCUUUGCAAUAUACAUUAAUUGCGAUAUUUAAUGAAGUGCCUUUUUUAGUUUCAAUACCUACAGUUCUACUAUAGCAUCAUAUAUAAUUAUUUUAAUUCAUAUUGCUAAUAAUCUAUUUCACUUUAUGAUCACCUUUAUAUUUUAUGAUCAUCGUAUAUAUUAUCCUAGUUUGUGAUCAUCUUUAUAAUCUCGUUUUGCUCCCAAAUGGCGGGAUAAUCUUGGCCAACCAUUUCUGUCAACAUUUUUAAAUCAACCUUUUAAAUCAACUUGCUUAUUGUAUCAUCAGCUAAUAAAAUUGAAGAGUGCUCUUCAAAAACUCUCAGUCUGCUACAUGUUGAUUUGAAAAAAUCUAAUUUAUUUGUUCUUUAAAAAAUAUUUAAUGUGAUUUUUCAGUAUUACUAUUUUUAACACUCAUCUAAUAUUAAUCCAUUCAUUAAUAAAAAAAAAAAAAUUAAUAUCUCUAAUUGAGAGAUGCAGCAAAACUUGCUCAGUCCCGGAUUGGGUGAGUUUUGAAAAAUCCCCAUAAUAAUUGAAAUUUCACACAUGUCUGAAAGAUUAUUAUUACAUAUUUAGCUUUCACCCAUCAAGUAUGGUGUAAAAUCUUUAUGACAUGACCACCACACUUUCUUGCAUACCAUCCAUUAAUUUCCUCCCUCAACAUCUGUUAUCUCAAAAUACAUUAAAAAUUUAUACCCAGUCAAAUAAACAUAUGUAACUCAUUAUGAUUAUUGUAUGCCAUGGUAUACCUUUUUUAUUUCAUGAAUACUUACCUGGAUGAACUGAUAUAAGCCAGAUUCUUAAUGGAACUUACCUGCGAAAAAUAAUUGAUUAGUUUAACCCUGGCAUAUAUAACGCAUCAACGUUGUGUAUCAAACCUCAAAUUUCCUUUCGCCAAGAGCGAGUAUAGUGAAGGAGGCACAAAAACAUCCAAAGGCACCGACCCAGCAGAAGCUGUCUUGGCAUGGCCGACACGACAGGCCACACCCACGCGGAGGCCGCACAAACUUAGCGUCAGGCCAACGCAAGCAGACCUUGCAUCACAAUUCCUGGUCACAAGAUUGGCACAUACAACAUUCCAAGUGACGAUCAAACUUUGGGUAAAAUCAAAACACUACAACGAAAGCAUGUGGCUUUGUUACACUAGGUAAGCGCCUCACUGUAAUUGCUCAUGGCGAAAGGAAAUUUGAGGCUUGUUGCAUAACGUUGAUGCGUUAUAUACGCCUAGGUUAGACAAUGCCAUUAUUUUUCAGGGUAAGUUCAAUUAAAAAUCUGGCUUACAUCAGUUUAUCCAGGUACUGUAAGUAUCUCACUAAUAGACCAAUAACAUCCGUUCUGAUUUGUGUGAUUUUACUGUAAAUAGCACAAAAUAUUGGAAACAAGUCAAUGAUAAAUGUACUCCAUUAUUGUGUGAAAUAGAUAGACAUGGUGAUAAAUGACGCAAGCAUAGCAUAUAGCAUUUCGCUGAACUAGGCUGUGUUGUUGUCAGUAUUGGAUUAGUGUCCAUUUCUCUACACCUUAUUACAUUUUUACCGCACUUAGUUGGCAUGUCUGUAGUCUGGAUUGCUGCCUAAAGAAAAGAUAGCGUAUUAAUUAGUGUAUUAAUAUUGCAUAACAACAACUUGAAAGUUGUUUGUGAUUGUAGUGAUUGUAGUGUUUUGUUUGACAAAACAAAUGAAAUAGGAUCAAUAUUCCUUCUCUCUUUAUAGGAUCAAUAUUUCUUCUCUCUUUUUGUUUUGGUUUUUAUAAAAGAUUUUUAUGUAAUUAUUGAGUUUAAAAAUAAAAGUUAUUAAAAUAACAUUUUUUUUUUUAGACAGGCAUUAUGUCUUUAAACGAGAUGAAUAUUGCACUGUGUUAAAAAUACAUGACUUACAUCUGCUCUUAUACAAAACUGCAGUUGGCUGCUUUGUUGUUAUUAUAGGAUUAGCAUCUCUUUCUCCACACCUUAACACAUUACCACAAUUAACACUUAGAUAAUUAAAAGAUGGCAUUUCUGUAGUUUGGUUUGCUGCCUAAAGAAAAAGGUAGGUAGUUGUCAUAAAACAUAUUAAUGUUGUAUAAUGACACUACGAAAUUCAAAAGCAUUGAUGGUCUGAAUACGCUUGUGAUGGUAGUGUUUCAAAACAAAUGAAAUAGGAUCAGUAUAUCUUUUCUCUUUUUUGUUUUGUUUUUAAAUAUUUCUUUAUAAUAAAAUAUAAGUGAUUAAAAUAAUAUGGUUUUGUUUUUUGGUUUUUUUUUGCAGUCAUUAUAUCUUUAAGCAAGAAAAUAUUGCACUGUGUUGACAAUGCAUAACUUGCAUAUGCUCUUUGAAUAUUAUUCAACUUGAAAGCUCCUUUCUUGAUUGGGUAACCCCAAAUAAUUGAACAGUCUGCAUUUGGCUGUCGUAUUGUUGUAUAAAACAGAUAGGCAGGGCAGAAAAUUUCUUCAUAAUACAUCACUUCACUGAAGUUGGCUGGAAUAGAUAGGCAGGGCGGAAAAUGUGCAAGCAUAGCAUAGAACAUUUCACUGAACUUGCCUGUGUUAUUAAUAUUGGCUUAGUAUCCCUUUCUCCAUACCUUAAUGCAUUUCUACAAUGCUUAGAUAAUUCAAAGAUGGCAUUUUUGUAGUGUGGUUUGCUGCCUAAAGAAAAGAUUGUAAUUAGUGUAUUAAAAAUGGAGUAGUCCCCAAAAUCUCCAUAGUCGUCACUCUGAUGUACCCUUUGUAUUAAAUUUAGGAGCAUGGUGGAGGAUUCCUUAGAUAAAGCAUACAGCAUUUCACAGGUUGUGUUAACAGCAUCGGAUUAGUAUCUCUUUCUCUACACCUUCAUACAUUUCACAAUGCUUAAAUUUUUUGAAGAUGUCACUUCUGUAGUCUGGUUUGCUGCCUAAAAACAGGUAUAUAGUUUAAUAAAACAUAUUAAUAUUAAUAUUGUAAACCGACUCCAUGGAAGUCAAAAGCUUUGAUGGUCUGAAAUAGGCUUGUGAUUGUGAUGUUUUCUUUGUCAAAAUAAAUGAAAUAGGAUCAAUAUUUCUUCUCUAUUUUCUUCAGGUUUUUAUGAAAGAUUUCUAUGUAAUUAAUUAUAGUGCAAAUAUUUUUCCACAUCAUAAUAAAAAUAAAUGGUAUUGAAAUAAUCUCUCUUUUUUCGGCAGGCAUUAUAUCUUUAAACAAGAUAAAUAUUGCACUGUGUUCAAAAUACAUGACUUGCAUCUGCUCAAUUGAACUUGCAAGCUUACAUGAUGGGGUAGCCCCCAAAAUCGCCACAGCCUGCACUCUGAUGUAGCCUUAUUGUCGGAAAUAGAUUUGCAAGGUGGAUAAUGAUUCAGGCAAAUAAUACAGCAUUUUACUGCACUUGUUUUUUUCGUUGUUAAUAUUGGCUUAGUAUCCCUUUCUCCAUACCUUAAUGCAUUUCCACAAUACUUAGAUAAUUCAGAGAUGGCAUUUUUGUAGUGUGGUUUGCUGCCUAAAGAAAAGAUUGUAAUUAGUGUAUUAAACAUUGAGUAGUCCCCAAAAUCUCCAUAGUCGGCACUCUGAUGUUCCCUUGUAUGAAAUUGAUGAACACGGAGGAUGAUUUCUUAAACACAGCAUACAGCAUUUCACAGGUUGUGUUAACAGUCAUCAGAUUUGUAUCUCUCUACACCUUCAUACAUUUCACAAUGCUUAGAUUUUUUGAAGAUGGCACUUCUGUAGUCUGGUUUGCUGCCUAAAAACAGGUAUAUAGUUUAAUAAAACAUUAAUAUUGUAAACCGACUCCAUGAAAGUCAAAAGCUUUGAUGGUCUGAAAUAGGCUUGUGAUUGUAAUGUUUUCUUUGUCACAAUAAAUGAAAUAGGAUCAAUAUUUCUUCUCUAUUUUCUUUUGGUUUUUAUAAAAGAUUUAUAGUAAUUAAUUAUAGUGCGAAUAUUUUUCCACAUCAUAAUAAAAAUAAAUGGUAUUGAAAUAAUCUCUCUUUUUUCGGCAGGCAUUAUAUCUUUAAACAAGAUAAAUAUUGCACUGUGUUCAAAAUACAUGACUUGCAUCUGCUCAAUUGAACUUGCAAGCUUACAUGAUGGGGUAGCCCCCAAAAUCGCCACAGCCUGCACUCUGAUGUAGCCUUAUUGUCUGAAAUAGAUUUGCAAGGUGGAUAAUGAUUCAGGCAAAUAAUACAGCAUUUUACUGCACUUGUUUUUUUCGUUGUUAAUAUUGGCUUAGUAUCCCUUUCUCCAUACCUUAAUGCAUUUCCACAAUGCUUAGAUAAUUCAAAGAUGGCAUUUUUGUAGUGUGGUUUGCUGCCUAAAGAAAAGAUUGUAAUUAGUGUAUUAAACAUUGAGUAGUCCCCAAAAUCUCCAUAGUCGGAAUUCUGAUGUAUCCUUAUUGUAUGAAAUUGACGAACACGGUGGAUGAUUUCUUAAACAUACCAUACAGCAUUUCACAGGUUGUGAUAACAGCAUCAGAUUAGUAUCUCUUUCUCUACACCUUCAUACAUUUCACAAUGCUUAGAUUUUUUGAAGAUGGCACUUCUGUAGUCUGGUUUGCUGCCUAAAAACAGGUAUAUAGUUUAAUAAAACAUAUUAAUAUUGUAAACCGACUCCAUGGAAGUCAAAAUCUUUGAUGGUCUGAAAUAGGCUUGUGAUUGUAAUGUUUUCUUUGUCAAAAUAAAUGAAAUAGGAUCAAUAUUUCUUCUCUAUUUUCUUCAGGUUUUUAUGAAAGAUUUAUAUGUAAUUAAUUAUAGUGCGAAUAUUUUUCCACAUCAUAAUAAAAAUAAAUGGUAUUGAAAUAAUCUCUCUUUUUUCGGCAGGUAUUAUAUCUUUAAACAAGAUAAAUAUUGCACUGUGUUCAAAAUACAUUACUUGCAUCUGCUCAAUUGAACUUGCAAACUUACUUGAUGGGGUAGCCCCCAAAAUCGCCACAGUCUGCACUCUGAUAUAGCCUUAUUGUCGGAAAUAGAUUUGCAAGGUGGAUAAAAAUGUAAACAUAUUAUGCAGCAUUUUACUGCACUUGUUUUUGUCGUUGGUACUAUUGGCUUAGUAUCCCUUUCUCCAUACCUUAAUGCAUUUCCACAAUGCUUAGAUAAUUCAAAGAUGGCAUUUUUGUAGUGUGGUUUGCUGCCUAAAGAAAAGAUUGUAAAUAGUGUAUUAAACAUGGAGUAGUCCCCAAAAUCUCCAUAGUCGGCUCUCUGAUGUACCCUUAUUGUAUGAAAUUUAGGAGCAUGGUGGAUGAUUCCUUAGAUAAAGCAUACAGAAUUUCACAGGUUGUGUUAACAGCAUCAGAUUAGUAUCUCUUUCUCUACAACUUCAUACAUUUCGCAAUGCUUAGAUUUUUUGAAGAUGGCACUACUGUAGUCUGGUUUGCUGCCUAAAAACAGGUAUAUAGUUUUAUAAAACAUAUUAAUAUUGUAAACCGACUCCAUGGAAAUCAAAAGCUUUGAUGGUCUGAAAUAGGCUUGUGAUUGUGAUGUUUUCUUUGUCAAAAUAAAUGAAACAGGAUCAAUAUUUCUUCUCUAUUUUCUUUUGGUUUUUAUAAAAGAUUUAUAUGUAAUUAAUUAUAGUGCGAAUAUUUUUCCACAUCAUAAUAAAAAUAAAUGGUAUUGAAAUAAUCUCUCUUUUUUCGGCAGGCAUUAUAUCUUUAAACAAGAUAAAUAUUGCACUGUGUUCAAAAUACAUGGCUUGCAUCUGCUCAAUUGAACAGAUUCAACUUGCAAGCUUACAUGAUGGGGUAGCCCCCAAAAUAAAUCUCCACAUGAAAUGGAUAUGCAUGGCGGGUAGUUAUGUAAACAUAUGUACCAUACAGCAUUUCCCUAAACUGGUUUGUGUUGUCAGGAUUGGAUUAGCAUCCCUUUCUCCACACCAUAAAUACAUUUCCACAACACUUAGAUAAUUCAAAUUGCACUUCUGUGGUCUGGAUUGCUACCUAAAGAACAGAUAGGUAAUAUACAGGUAUUAAAAUAUUGUAUAACAACACCAGAAAAUCAAAAGCUUUGAUGGUCUGGAAUAGGCUUCUGAAAAAUCUGGAAAAUUUCUUAAGCAGAUAGGUUUUGGAUACUAUUUAAAUGUAUCAUUAAUCGACAAAUAAAAUCUUAAUGACUGUGACCACACUAAUCCCAAUACACUUGACUACUCAUCAAGUCAAAAUGACGCCUGUGUCAACAACAUACAGUACCUGAGGAUAAAUAUCCCGAUCUUGCAAAUGUUAUCAAAAAGAAACAAAGGCUGUAACAUAUCGAACUAAUUAUGAAUCGAUAUAAAAUAACAUGGGAAUGAAGUAAAUUAACAUAGUUAAAAUGCUAGAUCGUUAUAUAGCCAUACAAUAAUAACAAUAAUUCAACAUACUCUAUUGAAUCUAUUCACUUAGAUCGAGCUAAUCAUGAAAUUCAUGGGCGCCGCCAUUUUUGUUAACAUGAAAAAAGGUCAAGGUCAAAUGACCAUGACAUCACAGCUGACCAUGCUUAUCUCGAGCCUGAACAAUAAACAGUAGAGAAAAGGCCUUAUCAGACCACAUCCUCCAUGAUUAAACAUGCUUUAAAGUAUAACUCAUUUACAUGUGUUAAAAGGUCUGAAUUUAAUUCUUGGUUCCUCCAGGAGAGCGUUCUGCACAGAAGAACAACUCUAGGUGAUCUUGGCUUGUAUGUUAACAGAUACUUCUGUUUCGGUUCUGCACAAGCAAAAUGAGUCAUACAUUGCUUGGAGGUUCUUGAUUGCAACUAAAAGUCCUCAGUAUGAAGGCAGUCUUUCUAGGUGUCUCGUACAUAUACUUUGAUGCCAUAUGAACAACAUAUCCUCCACCUACUGUAUAUAAGAUAUGAAUUCUCCCUUGUAUAAUAGAGAGACCAGAUGUUGGGAGCAUCUGUGUAAUAGUGUUCAUCGUCAGUUGAAGUGUGUAAUUACAUAUUGAAAUAUUCUUUAAUGCUGUUGGUUGUCGUCCAAUUAGCAAGACUCAUUUGCUUUCAGGAGUAGUUGGAAAUUCAUGUUACUUGGUAAAGUAGUGUUGAUAUAAAUAUAUAUAUAGUCAGCUACACUCCUUAAGUUUGAUCAGCCUUUAUUAUUUCUUCUACAUCUGUGUCACUACAAGCUUAUACAAUAUUUACAGGUGUGAAUUUUCGACUUAGUGUUGCCUUUAAUGUUUUAAAGGAAAGACCCCUCAAUCAACUAUACUUUCCCUUUUUAAGAUACCAGUUUGGGAGUAGUGGGGUUUCAAAACUUCUGUUUACAAAGUUUUAUAAAUAGAUAACAACUGUCAUUUUAACUGUUAAUCUUAAUUGUAUAAUUCUUGGAAACUUGACCACUAUCACACUAAAGCUAUUGUGUUGUCACUCUGAAAUUUAACAGAAUGUGUUUGAGGGGUGAAGCAGUUUAGUCUGGGAAAGGUUCAAUACAAUGUUACAUUAAUAAUAUAGUUACAGUAUGAGAAUGGAUUUACUAAUGCAAUUCUGCUGUAUAGCUUCACAAGAGUAUCAUACUUUCGGAUCAAGUGCACAUCUUGCUUUAGUGACACAGAGAUGUAGAUGUAUAUUCUUUGAAACAUUAAAUGUGUAGUGUCGCCUUUAAUGUCUCAAAGGUAAGUCCUCUCAAUCAACUAUACUUUCCCUUCUUAAGAUAACAGUUUGGGUGUGGUUGACAUUCUCAUCAAGGAUUACUGAACAUUACCUAAUAUUUAGUGGACUCUAUCAGUCAGAUAACAUCCAGAGUUUCAAAACUUCGGGAGGUAAAACUUGAUACUUAAUUUAUAGUUCUGUUUACAAAUUUAGUUUUAUAAAUAGAUGCCCACACUUUCUUUUGGUCGUCAUUUACACUGUUGCAAAUUCCUGGGCACCAGCAUUUUUCAGUCUUAAUAUUUCUUCUUCCACCACCUCAUCGUCGCAUUUGGGUGGGGGGGGGGGAGAUAUUCGCGUUUCAAUUUCGCAAUGUCAUGUAUAAAUGUAUUUCUUGCCUUUUUUACAUCAUUGCGUUUAUGGCCAUCAAUAUGUCCCCUUCUUCUUAUCCGCAGACAGGAACUCCAACUUGUGCAACCAUUCUCAAGCUGUUUCAAGUGAAAUGGAUCUUGGGAAUUGUGGUGGUAAAUGAGUUGUGGGCAACAGAACAGUGUUGAUCCACUUUCAAAAUUCGGCAAUUCUCAUGUUUGGUUGAUCUUUGCCGUUUUCCCGGAUAAAAUGUAUUGCCUUAUUUAGGUACCUGACAAGAAAAUUCAAACUUUAUGAAACAGAUUGACUCAUUCAUCAAAAGAUGUAGAAAAAGAAAUGCAAUUUAUUGGUAUAAAUAUUGUAAAAAUCCAUCAACCCAUUGUUUUACUUUUGCUACCGAGAUUGGUAUUAUUGAACAAACCAGUGAGAGUUUGGUCUUUCUCAAUAAGUUUUCCACAUAUCAAAAAUAGAACAUGUAGCCGGUUUCCCCUGUACCUGGGUAUAAACCCCUUUGGUAACCCAGCAUGUGUCAAUUCUGUUUUGAAGGGCUUUGGGUCACCUGCCCCAUCUUUGAAAUGCAACUUCGUAACAGCCAUUACUAACUGAGGAGCACUGCAGUCCGAUCCAUAGAGUUUCUUCCCUGUAAUUUUUUAAAAAGAGAACAAAAUAAGUAGGCAGUUAUGUAGUCGGAGAUGACUCCCAUUUCCCGAGACAUUUGCUUGUACUGUGGAUGGGUGUGGUACAUUAGCAAGAGUGACACCAUAGCUUUCUGCCAUCUUCUUCAUCAGCACAGGAAUCAGCUCAGUUGGCACAGAACAUUCCAGCAUCUGGUAAACAAUUUGCCUAGUGUUGGCAUUGUAAGGCUUACCCUUACCACCAUCAACUGGACUUUGUGCUGAUGUUUGCUCAACCAGGUCUCCUAAAUCAUGAACCUCUUCUUCCAAUUGUGCUACCUGGUCUUGUAGGUCAAAGAUUUCUUUAUUUUUUUCUUUUGUCUUAUGUCUUCUUCCUUUCCUUUCAUGUACACAGUUAUUUUCUUCUUUAUCUUUAAAUCAUUCUCUGUGCUCCAUGGUACUUUCUUCUGUAUAUCUUUGCAUCUUCUGUUUUCUUUAUGUCUGCUAGUUUAUCCUUUUUAUGCUGUAACUGACUUCCCUUUCUGACCACUGUCUGCCUGCAGUAGGUAUUUAUCUUUUAUUUCUUUGCUUUGGAUUCUUUCAGUUUUGUUUUGAGUUCUUCAAUACUCCUUUCAUUAAAGUCCAGUCGUAUUUGCAUUUUUGCUUUUACUGGCGUUAACUUCGCUCUUCUCUUCAAUGAUCGUUCACCCGAUGUUUGUUUGGGAGGAGUUAUAGGAUUCGGAGUAAUUGAUGACGACACUGUAGAAGCUUCCAGAAAUGGGAUGUUGGAUGAGGAACUAGUUGGUUCUUGCGUUGCUGGAGGACGGUCUACAAGCUUGUACUUGGAAAAAUUAUCAAAGUGGAGGCUUUCUUAACUGAAUGGGAAAUCUUGAACUUUUUCAACAAAUUCAUCAUAGAGCUUUUAGCAAUCUUGAUGCUACGGCUGUCGUCGAAGAUGUCAGCUACCUUAGAGAACGCCUUUUUUUGAAGGCAGAUGUAGGUGUAUAAAAAGUGGCCAUUUUGCAACAAACCUGCAUCGCUCAGUAUUUGGAAGUAGUUCUCCCAAAUAAACUUCUGUGGCGUCAUCGGUCCAGCAGGUUCGUCCAGGCUAUGUACCGUCAUUUAACUGCCUACUGAAAAAUGAAAUCAUAAUUAAUUUGUGCCUUUUUUUUUAGUACUUAUUAUAGAUUCACUAUAUUAAGCAAAAUGAUCAAAUCAUCUCUCUUACUCUCCUAUACUCUACUAUGAUAUACCAUGUUUUUGUCAACUUUAAAAAAUUCUAUUUCUCAAACCAAAAAGUGUGCAAUAGUCUAACAACAUUGACAGAUCAUUGUCUUUUUUCAAUGGACAGCAUCAUCAGAAUGAUGAUCUGUCACUAGGUGACUAGGCAGGUCUGCCACUAAAGGGCCAAUUACAAUACACAUAGGAAUUUGGCUCUCUUCUUUGUUAGUCUUUAAAAUACUGUAGAACCAUGUCCCACCCUGUCCCAUCAUGUUUUAUCUUUCCCUACCCUUCCCUAGAAUGUUAUAAAACAUUUGAACUGAUUAUUUUUCGCCCUCAAGCUUCCUAUAAAGAACCCACACCUCUACACCUGUACCCAGGAAACGUAUGUAUGAAGCAAAACAUUGUUGGCGUUUUCAUUGGUACACAACAAGGGUGGCUAGAAUUAAUUGCGAAAUAAAAAUACAUAACUAACAGUUACAUGCCCUAAAACAGGCAAAACUAUGUGGUUGGGGGCCAAACCCGACUACUGUAUAUCGAAACACAAAACCCAAUCAGAAAAAAUACUGUAUGAAUCAUACCUAAGUUUUCCACAUAUCAAACAUAGAACAUGUAGCCGGUUUCCCCUGUACCUGGGUAUAAACCCCUUUGGUAACCCAGCAUGUGUCAAUUCUGUUUUGAAGGUCUUUGGGUCACCUGCUCCAUCUUUGAAACGCAAUUUUGCAACAGCCAUUCCUAACUGAGCAGCACUGCAGUCCGAUCCAUAGAGUUUCUUCCCUGUAAAAAAAAAAAAAGGAAAAAAAAAAAAUGUAGGCAAUUUUUUACAUUUCAAAUUUAUCUUUCAAUUUAUAGUUAUAUCUUUGCAUUUUCUGUUUUCUUUAUGUCUGCUAGUUAUGUCUGCUAGUUUAUCCUUUUUAUGCUGUUACUGACUUUCCUUUCUGGGUAUUGUCUGCCUGCAGUAGCGGUAUUUAUCUUUUAUUUCUUUGCUUUGGACGCUUUCAUUUUUGUUUUGAGUUCUUCAAUACGCCUUUCAUUAAAGUCCAGUCGUAUUUGCAUUUGUGCUUUUACUGGUGUUAACUUCGCUCUUCUCUCAAUGAUCGUUCACCCGAUGUUUGUUUGGGAGGAGUUAUAGGCUUCGGAGUAAUUGAUGACGACACUGUAGAAGCUUCCAGAAAUGGGAUGUUGGAUGAGGAGCUAGUUGGUUCUUGCGUUGCUGGAGGACUGUCUACAAGCUUGUACUUGGAAAAAUUAUCAAAGUGGAGGCUUUCUUAACUGAAUGGGAAAUCUUGAACUUUUUCACCAAAUUCAUCACAGAGCUUUUAGCAAUCUUGAUGCUAUGGCUGUCAUCGAAGAUGUCAGCUACCUUAGAGAAUGCCUUUUUUUGAAGGCAGAUGUAGGUGUAUAAAAAGUGGCCAUUUUGCAACAAACCUGCAUCGCUCAGUAUUUGGAAGUAGUUCUCCCAAAUAAACUUCUGUGGAGUCAUCGCUCCAGCAGGUUCAUCCAGGCUAUGUACUGUCACUUAACUGCCUACUGAAAAAUGAAAUCAUAUUUAAUUUGUGCCUUUUUUUUUAGUACUUAUUAUAGAUUCACUAUAUUAAGCAAAAUGAUCAAAUCAUUAAAUCUCUCUUACUCUCCUAUACUCUACUAUGAUAUACCAUGUUUUUGUCAACUUUAAAAAAUUCUAUUUCUCAAACCAAAAAGUGUGCAAUAGUCUAACAACAUUGACAGAUCAUUGUCUUUUUUCAAUGGACAGCAUCAUCAGAAUGAUGAUCUGUCACUAGGUGACUAGGCAGGUCUGCCACUAGAGGGCCAAUUACAAUACACAUAGGAAUUUGGCUCUCUUCUUUGUUAGUCUUUAAAAUACUGUAGAACCAUGUCCCACCCUGUCCCAUCAUGUUUUAUCUUUCCCUACCCUUCCCUAGAAUGUUAUAAAGCAUUUGAACUGAUUAUUUUUUGCCCUCAAGCUUCCUAUAAAGAACCCACACCUCUACACCUGUACCCAGGAAACGUAUGUACAGUAUGAAGCAAAACAUUGUUGGCAUUUUCAUUGGUACACAACAAGGGUGGCUAGAAUUAAUUGCGAAAUAAAAACACAUAACUAACAGUUACAUGCCCUAAAACAGGCAAAACUAUGUGGUUGGGGGCCAAACCCGACUAUAUCGAAACACAAAACCCAAUCAGAAAAAAUACUGUAUAAAUCAUACCUACCUGUGUUCAGAAUACACUUGCACGCGAAGCCACAUAAAUAACUGAUGCACCUACGACAAGCGCCGGAGGCAGAUAUCAAAACUGAACAAGUAAGGCGUGCACUCGGUCGAUGCAAAAAUUACGUUUGCUAGCAAACCUGAUAUUUAAUCAAUAAAUAUGAAUAUCAAUAAAGUCAAUCAAGCAGCCAGAGAAAGCCUUUUUUCAUUUUAAUUUUUUCUUAAUAAAAAUGCAAUCAGAAAAAGUGAAUAACAAAACAAAUAGAAAAAAGGAAAUGGUUAUACAGUAACAGACUGCAUUAUACAGUAAGUUGUAGACAUUAGAUAUAAAAUAUUAAUAUUAUCUUAACAAAUAUGUUGUUGUAACAGUAUAAUAUGUCGUUCCUUUUUAGACACUGGAAAAAAGCGCAUAGACAGUGUAGUAUGCGCUAUAGAAAUGGAAGACCAUUACCCUAUAUGUUUGUAUAUUUUGGUAUGUGUAAAUUGAUACGAAUAAUGUAUGCAUCUAUUUAUGUAUACAUACCAACUUUUUUUUCAUGCUUAGCUUUCAUUCAUUUUUCUAUAUACUGUAUAUAUUACUAGUUAUGUUAAGAUACAACUUGUAUUAGUGUGUACUAUGCACCACCUGUUGAGUGCCACUGAUAUAUGGUUUGCCAUUAAAUUAUCAUUAUUAUUAUUAUUAUUUUUAUUAUUAUUUAUUAUUGUUUAUCAAUAUACCAAAUAUGAUAGUAAUAUGUUGCAUAUUAUCAAGUUCUGAAUUGAAGACUGGUCUGCAUAGGCUUUUCACAUAUUACUUCAGUCAUUGUUAUAUUUGUAUUUGUCUGUUAUACAAUUUAUUACCUAUAUUUUCUUUUAUAAUAAGCAGAUUUUAUGUCUAGAAAAUAUAAUAUAGCUACUACUGUAGUAUGUUACACAAAUAUUUACUGGGUUGAGGAGCAUUGUUCAAAUUUCCCGAGGUGAUCUGGAGGCUGUACUGUUUUCCAAGAUGAAGUUGAGGGACAUAGUACAGCUUCAGGUCACCAAUGGCUAUAACUUGACCCGAUUAAAAUCCCAGUAAAUAUUUGUUUUAUAUACCACUACCUUUACAUAGAUUGACCGGCUAAGGAGGGCAUGGCCGGAACUGUUGCCCAGCUUUUAACCAAUCAAAUGCCUGGAAUCUAUGUAGUUGGUACAGUAUAUACAUGGAGGUAAUAGUUUCUAUUGAAAAUCAUAUAAAGUAUGUAAGGUGUCUGGUUGAUUUGUAAAUAUUGGCAUUAUCUCUAUUUGUUAACUAUGUUAUUUGUGCAGUAAGUAAAUACCAAAUGUAAUUAUAAUAUUAUACCAAAUGUUAAUACAUAUCAAAUCCAGAGAGGUUAACUAUACUGUAUGUUCCUUUUUUGUUUAGAGGUAAGUUUUUGUUUCAAUUUAGCUAAAAUGUCCUUUUAUUAAACUAUAUUAAUUAUAUUUUAUAAGACAUGUUGAUAUUAUAUAAAAUCUUUAUACUUUUUAACUUCUGUCUGGUUUUUACUGUACCAGCAAUAUCCUAGCAUUCCAUCGAUAGUGCCUGACUAAAACUUACUGUAGCAAAUUUUACAGGAAGUUUCAAAUUUGUCAUAGUAUACACAUUUAGAUUUUUAAAAAUCAAGUUUUGCAUUUGUAUGAAAAAUAAAUAAAGCUAAAAUUAUUAUAAA